CGACCGGCGCACGGGUGAGUAACACGUAUGCAACCUGGCCGUCACAGGUGGAUAACCGGAAGAAAUUCCGACUAAUACAGCAUAACACUCCUGAGGGACAUCCCUUGGGAGUCAAAGGAGGCAACUCCGGUGACGGGAUGGGCAUGCGGCGCAUUAGGUAGUUGGUAGGGUAACGGCCUACCAAGCCGACGAUGCGGUAGGGGUUCUGAGAGGAAGGUCCCCCACAUUGGAACUGAGACACGGUCCAAACUCCUACGGAAGGCAGCAG
rnacentral:rRNA from 1 species